UACGUAGGGGGCAAGCGUUGUCCGGAUUUAUUGGGCGUAAAGAGCGUGUAGGCGGCCAAGCAGGUCCGCUGUGAAAACUCGAGGCUCAACCUCGAGACGUCGGUGGAAACCGUUUGGCUAGAGUCCGGAAGAGGAGAGUGGAAUUCCCGGUGUAGCGGGUGAAAUGCGUAGAUAUCUGGAGGAACACCGGUGGCGAAGGCGGCAUCCUGGGACCAACACUGACACUGAGGAGCGAAAGCCAGGGGAGCAAACGG
rnacentral:rRNA from 1 species